CCUACGGUGUGCAGCAGUGGGGAAUAUUGGACAAUGGGCGAAAGCCUGAUCCAGCCAUGCCGCGUGUGUGAAGAAGGCCUUCGGGUUGUAAAGCACUUUCAGUGGGGAAGAAAGCCUUGGGGCUAAUACCCUCGAGGAAGGACAUCACCCACAGAAGAAGCACCGGCUAACUCCGUGCCAGCAGCCGCGGUAAUACGGAGGGUGCGAGCGUUAAUCGGAAUUACUGGGCGUAAAGCGCGCGUAGGCGGUCUGAUAAGCCGGUUGUGAAAGCCCCGGGCUCAACCUGGGAACGGCAUCCGGAACUGUCAGGCUAGAGUGCAGGAGAGGAAGGUAGAAUUCCCGGUGUAGCGGUGAAAUGCGUAGAGAUCGGGAGGAAUAUCAGUGGCGAAGGCGGCCUUCUGGACUGACACUGACGCUGAGGUGCGAAAGCGUGGGUAGCAAACAGGAUUAGAUACCCUUGUAGUC
rnacentral:rRNA from 1 species